AGGUAGCAUAAUUAUUAGUCUUUUAAUUGAAGGCUUGAAUGAACGAUUGAAUGAAAAAUAAACUUUAUUAAUAAAAUUAAUUUAAUUUAGUAUUUAAGUAAAAAUUCUUAAAUAAUUAAGUGGGACGAGAAGACCCUAUAGAAUUUAAAUAUUUUUUAUUAUUGUAAAAUUGAAGAAUUAUUAUUUUAAAAUAAAAAAAAUUUUUUUGUUGGGGUGACAUUAAAAAUUAGUUAACUUUUAAUUAAUAUAACAUUAAUAUAUGUUUUUUGAUCCAAUUUUUUUUUUUGAUUAUAAGAUUUAAUUACCUUAGGGAUAACAGCGUUAUUAAUUUGAAGAGUUCAAAUCGAUAAAUUAGUUUGCGACCUCGAUGUUGGAUUAAGAAAAAAU
rnacentral:rRNA from 1 species